AAAGAAAGAUAGGAAGGAAAAAAAGGGAAGGAAAUGAAAGAAAGGAAGGUAAUAAAAGAAAGGAAAGGAAGGAAGAAUAGAAAGAAAAGGAAAAGAAAAGUAAGGAAGGGAGGAAAAGGAAGGAAAGAAAGGAAAGGAAAGAAGGGAAAAAAAGAGAAAAGGAAAGGAAAUGAAAAGGAAGGAAGGAUCGGAAAGGAAGGAAAGAAAGUAAAGGAAAGAAAAGAAAGUAAGGAAGUAAGAAGGAAGGGAAGGAAGUAAAAAAGAAGAGUAAGAAAAUAAGAAGGAAGGAAGGAAACGGGAAGAAGAAGGAGAGAAAGAUAGGGGAGGGAAGGGAAGGGGACGGGAGGGCAGGGGAGGGGAUUUUCUCCUCACUUGUUCCUCCUCACUAACUUUGCAUGGGGACAUAAAUGAACACUUGUCCCUUCUGCCUCAAUGACUGUGCCUCACGAGAAGCACCGGACUUCCAGUAGAAUACUUCUCUCUUUCGCCUCCAAACGUGCAAGGACAUUUUCCUCGGGUCCCACAUGCGCUGUUAGGAAGAAGUGGCUCAGCGUGGCCUCGUGAGCCGCUCCGCUCGGCAGCCGGUAACGUCUGAGUGCAAAAACACAGUGAGCUGAUGGAACUCCGUGUGAAGCUCAUCCAACAUCCAAACGUGCUUUGAACACCUCCAUGGUCGGUGACUCCACCACCUCUCUGGGCAGCCCAUUCCAGUGCCUGACCACCCUUUCAGAGAAGUAGGAUUUCCUAACGUCCAGCCUGAACCGUCCCUGGUGCAGCUUGAAGCCAUUCCCUCUAGUCCUAUCACUGUCACAGGAGAGAAGAGGCGGACCCCCAGCUCACUACAACCUCCCUCUGGGUAGUUACAGACAGCAAUAAGAUCUCCCCUGAGCCUCCUCUUCUCCAGACUGAACAAUCCCAGCUCCUUCAGCCGCUCUUCAUAAGGUCUGUGCUCCAGACCCCUCACCAGCUUUGUUGCCCUGCUCUGGACACGCUCCAGGGCCUCCAUGUCUUUCUUACAGCGAGGGGCCCAAAACUGGACACAGUACUCGAGGUGCGGCCUCACCAGUGCUGAGUACGGGGGGACAAUUCCUUCCCUG
ensembl:lncRNA